GGGGUUGUGGCUCAGCGGUAGAGCGCUUGCCUUGCAUGUGUGAGGCACUGAUUUCAAUCCUCAGCACCACA
rnacentral:tRNA from 1 species